UUGACAGGACUAUCAGUGGGGCAAUCAUAUGUGCACAAGUCUGGAGAGAAUCUGAUCACUCCUGUUACAAGAAAGGGACUGGAAUAGAUGGAUUUCAGGAGGAUUUUUGUCCAUCCAGAAGUACAUAGUUAUGUAUCAAAGAUCUGUCCAAGGUCAGCUGUCAGAUACAAAGAAGCAAGUCCAGCAUCAUUACCCAGCUGCUGCUGCCUGCUUAGUGCAAAAGCCACUGGAAAGCAACAUCCUGAAGAGCUGAACACAUCCAAUCCCAAGAGGAUCAGAAUUUGCCCUGUUAAGGCUAGCCUCUUGGUGACUGCCAAUGAGCGGAUCUCAUCAUAGCUGAAAAUUCAGGAACAUGUGCAAAGAAGCCACCCAAAUGGACAAGAAAUUUGAAUAUUCUCUCUCCUGGCUUUUUCCUUUAGAAUGAGAAGACUGCAGAUGCUGCCAGCUUGUGCCCAGAGAAGAUGAGCACCUAAAAUAGGUGCCUGCUAGGAAUGGUCUCUGGUUGUCUGCUCAAUGGAAAGGGUUUAAUUUGCUGUUUAGGACCCACCCCUUUUCCCUAGUUAUUUGUGGUGCUAUAAUGAGAUGUGCAUA